AUCCGAUCUGAAAGCUUUUCGGGUGGACCCCGAAACGGAGGCGGAACAGACCGGUGGUGUAACAUUAGGCCUCGCCUUCUCGGCUACAGGGCUUGAGGCCUGAAGCUGGAGAAUGCGGUCCAGAGUCCUAAGAAGAAUGAGAGCUCAGCUCAGCCCGCCAGUGGUAGUGCUUCUCGGCUGGCCUUGGGUUUAGUUGUAGGGUCUGGGGCUGGGUCCGCCCUGGGACAAUGACGCCCCAGACCUCUGGACUCAGCUUCAGGGCUGCCUCUCACCGCGUCCCCAGGUCCCAGUCCCAGGAUCCGCUUCGGGGAACCCCAGGAGUAGUGCCUUCCCCCAUCAUCCACGGGAUGGGUGUGGGGGGAUGUGAAGGACGCGAGAGCCACUGCACCGCUGACGGUCUGGCGCUCCGGUGCAACCGCUUCAGCUGGCUCAUCACAACGAAAACCACUUCUCAUCUGUUAUCUCGUCAAGGCUUCGGGCACCUCUGAAAGGUGGGCAGGUCUAUGCUAUCAGU
rnacentral:lncRNA from 1 species